UACGUAGGGUCCGAGCGUUGUCCGGAAUUACUGGGCGUAAAGAGCUCGUAGGCGGUGUGUCGCGUCGGCCGUGAAAACCUGCAGCUUAACUGUGGGCUUGCGGUCGAUACGGGCAUCACUGGAGUUCGGCAGGGGAGACUGGGAUUCCUGGUGUAGCGGUGAAAUGCGCAGAUAUCAGGAGGAACACCGGUGGCGAAGGCGGGUCUCUGGGCCGUAACUGACGCUGAGGAGCGAAAGCAUGGGGAGCGAACAGG
rnacentral:rRNA from 1 species